AUUAGAGUGGUUGGUGCUUUUGGGGUGAGGGAUAAAGGGGAAGUUCAGGUUUCACCUUUCCUGGAGCUCACAGCACUUACUGGAGCUUGAGGGGUGCAGAGGUUUGCAUGAAGUCUCACUAAAAUGGCUUGGUGAAACCAGAACUAUCCUAUGCAAAUGAAGCUAGAACUCUUCCCCCUGAGCUGAUUACCUGUGGAGAUGGCAGUCUCUGGGGCAACCAGACUCAGAAGCCCUCCCAGCACAGUCGCCCUCCAUAUGCUCGUGUGCAGUCUCGUGGAAGUGUGUAAGGAGGCAAAUACCUACCCCACCCUGGACAGGCAAAGAAACCAAGCUCAGAGAUCCUGGGACUCUGGUACCGGGGAUCGAACUCAUCGAACUCACGACUGGCUGCUUGCAAGGCAGGCGCUUAUGCCGCUGAGCUAAAUCCCCAGCCCCCAAAACACAUGAGUCUUCAGAAGCCCCAGAGAACUUCCCAGUUGAGCUCCAACUGCAGUACCUUGAGUGACCGCUCUAUAGCUGAAAUGCUCAGCUUUUCAGGAAAAAAAAAAAACACCACCUCAUGUCUAGAACUCUGUCGCCCUCAGCUGUCUGCCACGUUUUGCCCGGUCUAUGGUAAGAUGAACACCCAUGGAGACUGACACCCAAGCACCUCCUGGGCCUUCCUAGGAAAAGUGACUCCUGUCCCUUAGAAACAAGACUCUUACUGCUUCCUCCUCCAGGAAGAGAGGGACUUUAUUGUACUUUUCUCGAGACCUACGGGUGUACAGUGGCAUUUAACCACCUGUUUGAACUCUCACAGCAUCAAUAAGAAGCCAGGCUUUCUUAUCUCUGGUUUAUGGAAAGCUGGCAAAGGUUAAUGAAAUAAUCCAAGAUCACCAAGUUGCUAGGCCACAGGAGAGUCUUUGAGACUCCGUUCAUUUGAUUCUAAAUCCAGACACACAUCUCAUCAGCUCAGAACUCCUGCUGGCCUGGAGGCAGCAGCCUUUCCUUCAGUGCUGCGUCUGCUCCCCAUCUGGCCUAGCCAGGGAGGCGUUGUUAUUGAGCUUAGGGAUGGUGAUAAGAAACACAUGACCUUGCUUUCCCUGCUGUCCCCCUGAAGUUGCCAUCUCUUGGGAACCUGAAGACUCUUUCUAAGGCUGGUGGGGUGACCUUCUUGCUGCUCCUGUGACACGCUAGUAGGAGACAUGGACUAAAACAGGAGCUGGUGAGCUCUGACACUGGUGCACCUUCCCCAGCCAGCGCCAUCUGCUAUCUUCUUUAAAAAUGUGGAAAUGUGUUUCUGAAUUAGUGCUCCAGCAACAAAAAUGAGUCUGAAGUGGUAGGAUCAUUAGAAUAGGGUGGAGACAGGAGAGAGGGCAAUCAAUACUUGAUUAUAAUCUCUCCCGAGGUUUUCAAAGGGAUGGAUAUGGGAGAAGGGAAGCUUUUAAGGAGAAGGAUGGUACAUAAAAAUGACUCCAGAAAAUAACUGUUUUUACAUUUUAUGGGGAGAGAAAACACAGCAUUCCUUUUAGUAGAGAGAAGUGAUAUUUAAAUAAUUUAGCCAACUUCUUUCCUUAGGGGACAUGCAGAAUAGCAGCAUCUCCUCAACUCUCUAGAACAGGAUCCAUUUUUAGUUUCCUUAAAGAGAAAAGUGCUAAAAUAAGAAAGGAAGAAAAUGACCUGGUGAAAACUCUAAAUCAGAAUCAGAAGACCGGUGUGUGUCCUCCUGUGCCACCUGCUGGUUCUGUGACAUCAAACAAGUUUCUUCUUCCUUCCCAGAGGUCUUUGCCUUCCCAUGUGGAAUGAUGGGAAAGAGGAAACAUUUUGGUUUGGGGCCCACAGUCAUGGAAUCCAAAGCUCUAGAUACACAAGGACUCUGUCACUGCCAUCAAGGUGCUCUGAGGUCCUUCCAGCAGCCAGAGUGACCUCCAAGUGGAAUUGGAAACAUCUGAGCUACAGGUUCUUCUUUGGAGUGCAGAUUAUGUAGUCAAAUUUCACAUGAAUUUUACAAAAAUUAGACCAUUAGUGUUAAGUGGUUAUAAAUUGUCAGCAGAAUCAUGAUUAGUGAAGGACAGUGAUCACAGUUCACAGUGAUCCAUUCUUUGGGUGUUUAACACACACUCUCUCUCUAAAGUAUUACUAGGGAUUGAAGGACCUCACAAUGAGGUACAUCCCCAGCCUUUUAUUAAAUUUAUUUGUUUUGAGACAAGUUCUUGCUUACUUUGCUAAAUUUCCCAGACUGGGCUUAAAUUUGGGAUCCUCUUGCCUCAGUCUCCCAAAGUGCUGAGAUUACAGGUUAGCUCACCUUCCGAAGAUGGCACACCCUCACCCUGCUUCAUGUCCUGAGCCCUCACCAAGGCCCUGUAGAGUUUGAAGGCAGCUGUGGUACCCACGCUCCCAAUGCAUAGAGAUAGCAGUUGAUACGCUUGUGUUGGUGGGCUGUUAUUAACACAUGAAAUUUGAGUUAGCAGAGAUGCUAAGAGAAUUCUGCAGUGUUUUUCUCAGCAGCUAAUUGGUUUGCUGUGCUCAGCCUGAGCUCCCAGCUAGAUGCCUUGGAACCUCCCCCAGUACUCGAGGAGUCUUGAUAAAGUGCUGGUGUGUAGGUGGGAGAAUGACUAAGGGAACAAUCAACUUGCUAUGAGAAACAGAGCAAAACUGCUCUUGACUUUCAGGCAGUAUAUUACCAAAUCUGAGAGGGGUUCACAACACACACAACUGGUUGGCAGUUAGGAUAUAACGACUCAAUAUUAUUAAUAUACAGGCAGUACACAAGUGAGACAGGGUCUCUAACCCUUCUGGGGUGGGUUUUCUGACUGCCUCCUAAGAAAGCCUCCUUCUGAAAGCCUCCUAAGAAAUCUGAACUGUGGACUGCUAAAGUUUCUACACAGGACCAUUCCUGCAAUUUAUACCACCGUGUCAAUGACUUUGUUUUUUCUCAGAAUAAUUUUGUGGAUUUGUUCCUGGUUGCCUGGUACAGAAAAGCUGAUUUUGUUAUUCUUGUGUUUUAAACAUUUAAUGUCUUAUCUAAAUAAUGUAUUUACAUAGUUGACAAACUGAAGUAGAUUGGGGAGCCCGAGGCAGGAGGAUUGCAUGUUGGAGCUAAUCCUGGGCAAUUUAGCACCUUAAUGAGAUCCUGUCUCAAAAUAAAAUAAAUGAAGAAAGGGCCCACAACUUAGCUCAGUGGGACGGUCCUGCAUUCCAUCUCCAGUAUCACACACAAACGUAAUGUAGGACAAUAAAUCUGACAGCAACAGCAGAAACCACAACAAAGCACAGCAAGGCUGUGCCCUGCUCCUCAGCACUCAGACAUCUUGCUUCCUGGGAUGAACCGCGCUCAUUUGUGUGAGCUGCUUCUUUUGAUGUUGACCGUGAGACCUCUGACUUUCUGUGUCUGCAUUAUUUCCCUUCACACGAUAGUCUCAGAAGCACCUAUUUCCCUGUAAAUGGCAAGUAGCAGCCUCUUGCCUCCCUGAUAAUUCUAGGAGGGUGUAGAAAGGGCUGAGGCAGAGGAGGUAACGUUUCAGUUUCUAGGAGUCACAGGCAGCAUUUGAGGCCCCAGGCCUCCUGCAGAACUGGAUUCUGGGAGAGAAUCAUGGCUGCCACGGUGUGAGGGGACCAGAGUCCCAGGCUCGCCUGGGUGUCAGUACGGAUGACACCCUUCUCUCCCUCUCACUCCACUUCUUUUCUUUUUAGUCUUUGUUUUUAUGAGUAUAUUUUUUUGCCACAUAUAAUGAUCACAUUCAUCAUGGAGAAUCUGUAUGUGUACAUAAUCUAUCUUGAAUUUUUCCCUGUUCCCUUGAACCCUUCUUUCCCUCUCCAUUCUCAAAAGCUCUGUUUCCAUUUAUUUCCACAGGAUGGACAGUAUGAAUUUCAUAGGUAGUUCUGAAGAUUGAGGGAAAUUAUGGAGAGUAAAUAACCUGGCACAGUGUUUGCUUUCAGUCAUCUCUGGUCUGUUCAUUACCUUCCUUCAAAGUAGGACGUUCUUCUCUCCCUCCAGUCAUCAAAAGGUUUC